CCCUUAGAUGUUCUGGGCUGCACGCGCGCUACACUGAUGCGCUCAACGAGUUUUAACCUUGCCUGGAAAGGUUGGGUAAUCUUUUUAAAACGCAUCGUGAUGGGGAUAGAUUAUUGCAAUUAUUAAUCUUCAACGAGGAAUUCCUAGUAAGCGCGAGUCAUCAGCUCGUGCUGAUUACGUCCCUGCCCUUUGUACACACCGCCCGUCGCUCCUACCGAUUGAACGUUUUAGUGAGGUAUUUGGACUGGGCCUUGGGAGGUUUCGGCCUCCCUUGUUGCUCGGAAAGACUCCCAAACUUGAGCGUUUAGAGGAAGUAAAAGUCGUAACA
rnacentral:rRNA from 1 species